UCCCAUGGCUUGCUUCGUUCCAUUGGGAUGGAAACCCUAAAGGAACGGAGAGAACAGGGUACAAGAAGGCCGGUUUUUCCUAAAUCCAUUGGCACUUCUGCCUUGGACAACUUGGAAGAAGCUUGAAUUGAACCAUCGCACUUAGAAAUACUAUUGGCAAUCCCCUCAACGGAGCUAUCUGGAAAUUUGGGGCACAUUUUGCGAUCGUCCAAUUUGAACACAUCGUAAACUGAAACGGGAAAUCUAACAACAGAGGAGGCGACAUCCUAUAAAAUGCUGUUUGAAGUUGUACUAAUUCCUUAAAGAGGUUCCUGGUAUUGAGGCCAAAUGGAGAUUUACCAUACGUUGGUUGCACGUGCACUAAAUCUCACAUGUCAGCAUGGAAAUCAAGGGCAUGCAGGACACCAAGAUUUUGGGCUUUUACAAUGAAAGUGUUUGGUAUCUCUGAGAUAUAUAUUCUGGCUGGUGUUUUGGAUAGACACAAAGGUGGCAUGGUUCAUUCACGUUAAGCUCUUGCCAGUUUUGACCCAUGGAUUCUUGAAAUUAGAUAAGGCUAAUGCAGAGACUCAGCUUUUGUGAAAUAAAUCUUGGAAGAUAGUGAGGUUUGGAAUUAUUGAGAAGUUGGGAAGCAAGGGGAAAGGCGCGGGUGUUGGUUGGGUUUGUGGAAUUAAGUCUCAACAGUCAACAGAGAAGAAAAGCUUUAAAGAAGAAAAGGAAUCACAUAAAUAAAUGCAUAAAGGAAUUAAUAAAAGGGUCUGAUAUGGGAGGGCACGUUGGAAGAAGAGUAAAAGGUGAAAGGGCUUAAAAAAAAGGAAAGGGAAAGGCAAAGUUAAGCUUGCCCAUGCUCUGAUCUCACACUCUCCCAUCAGCUUUUCGUUUGAUGUGAACUUUUGUGGGGUUGAUCAAAUUAUUAUAGGUCUUCCCUCAUGGAAUGGCAGCUUGUUAAUCUUAAUUAUCUUAUCAAUUAUUCUCUCUCUCUCUCUCUCUCUCUCUCUCUCUGGUCAUCUUCAGCUCUUUAGCUUUUGUUUUGUUCUCUGGGAGGUUUCCGAGCCUAAGAAAUACUCCUUAAAGAUUUGAUAUUUAUUUUUAAAACUUUUGUUCAAUAAAGCAGCAGUUAUGUUAAAUU